AACGAACGCUGGCGGCAUGCCUAACACAUGCAAGUCGAACGAGACCUUCGGGUCUAGUGGCGCACGGGUGCGUAACGCGUGGGAAUCUGCCCUUGGGUUCGGAAUAACUCCCCGAAAGGGGUGCUAAUACCGGAUGAUGUCAUAAGACCAAAGAUUUAUCGCCCAAGGAUGAGCCCGCGUGGGAUUAGGUAGUUGGUGAGGUAAAGGCUCACCAAGCCGACGAUCCUUAGCUGGUCUGAGAGGAUGAUCAGCCACACUGGGACUGAGACACGGCACAGACUCCUACGGGAGGCAGCAGUGGGGAAUAUUGGACAAUGGGCGAAAGCCUGAUCCAGCAAUGCCGCGUGAGUGAUGAAGGCCUUAGGGUUGUAAAGCUCUUUUACCCGGGAUGAUAAUGACAGUACCGGGAGAAUAAGCCCCGGCUAACUCCGUGCCAGCCGCCGCAGUAACAC
rnacentral:rRNA from 1 species